GAAAUGCAGCCUCCAAAGAGCAACGGGAGAUGAUACUCGUAGUCUAUGUACCACAGUAUGCAAAUGGACAUAUCUUGGGCAUGCACAUAUGCAGGAAAUGAAUGAAAAAGAUUCUUGAGAUAUGGAAGCUUGUGGAUGGGAUGAUGACUUUUGGGAAGAGAUUGGCUUGGGUGAUCUUAUAGAUGGUCAUCAUGCUAAGAUUGAACAAGAAACCAAAAAUGAAUUCCAAUUUUCCGAUAGAGGAAACUAUCAGAAGAGAAGGGAUCUCAA